UACGUAGGGUGCGAGCGUUAAUCGGAAUUACUGGGCGUAAAGCGUGCGCAGGCGGUUUUGUAAGUCUGUUGUGAAAUCCCCGGGCUCAACCUGGGAAUGGCAAUGGAGACUGCAAGGCUAGAGUUUGGCAGAGGGGGGUAGAAUUCCACGUGUAGCAGUGAAAUGCGUAGAGAUGUGGAGGAACACCGAUGGCGAAGGCAGCCCCCUGGGUCAAAACUGACGCUCAUGCACGAAAGCGUGGGGAGCAAACAGG
rnacentral:rRNA from 1 species